rnacentral:rRNA from 1 species
ACGACGCUCUUCCGAUCUCUAGACUGUAAGAGGCGAUGAAGGACGUACUAGACUGCGAUAAGUCUUGGGGAGCUGUCAAGAAGCUUUGAUCCAGGAAUUUCCGAAUGGGACAACCCAGCAUAGAGCGAUCUAUGUUACCUCGUAAGAGGGGCAAACCCGGUGAAGUGAAACAUCUCAGUAACCGGAGGAAGAGAAAUCAAAUGAGAUUCCGUCAGUAGCGGCGAGCGAAAGCGGAUUAGGACAAACCCAAUGCUUGCAUUGGGGGUUGUAGGACCAAGAUGUGAGACCAAAGAAGAUAGAUGAAUAAGCUGGAAAGCUUAAGCGUAGAGGGUGAUACUCCCGUAAUCGAAAUCUUCAAUGGCUCUAUUGGUAUCCUGAGUAGGACGGAACACGUGAUAUUUUGUCUGAAUCUAGGGGGACCACCCUCUAAUCCUAAAUACUACUUACAGAUCGAUAGUGAACAAGUACCGUGAGGGAAAGGUGAAAAGUACUCCAGCGAGGAGAGUGAAAUAGAACCUGAAACCAUUAGCUUACAAUCAUUCGGAGCCCUAUGUUGCUUGCAACAGGGUGACGGACUGCCUUUUGCAUAAUGAGCCUGCGAGUUGUGGUGUCUGGCAAGGUUAAGUCAAGUACGAAGCCGUAGCGAAAGCGAGUCUUAAUAGGGCGAAUUAGUCAGAUGCUGCAGACCCGAAACGAAGUGAUCUAUCCAUGAGCAGGUUGAAGCUGGUGUAAGAGCCAGUGGAGGACCGAACCGGUGUGCGUUGAAAAGUGCUCGGAUGACUUGUGGAUAGGGGUGAAAGGCCAAUCAAACUUCGUGAUAGCUGGUUCUCUCCGAAAUAUAUUUAGGUAUAGCGUCAUGUAAAUUAGUAUAAAGGGGUAGAGCACUGAAUGGGCUAGGGCUGCUUACCGCGGUACCAAACCCUAUCAAACUAUGAAUACUAUAUGUGUAAUCACGGGAGUCAGGCGUAGGGUGAUAAAAUCCUAUGUCGAGAGGGGAACAACCCAGACUAACAGCUAAGGUCCCAAAGUCAUAUCUAAGUGGAAAACGAUGUGGAGUUACUGUGACAACCAGGAGGUUGGCUUAGAAGCAGCCAUCCUUUAAAGAAAGCGUAACAGCUCACUGGUCUAGUGAUUCUGCGCGGAAAAUAUAACGGGGCUAAGAUGUGCACCGAAGCUUUAGAUUCGAAUUUAUUCGAGUGGUAGGAGAGCGUUCUAUUCAGCGUUGAAGAUGUACCGGCAAGGAGCGUUGGAGCGGAUAGAAGUGAGCAUGCAGGCAUGAGUAGCGAGAAAAGAGGUGAGAAUCCUCUUCGCCGAAAACCCAAGGUUUCCUACGCGAUGCUCGUCAUCGUAGGGUUAGUCGGGUCCUAAGUCGAGUCCGAAAGGGGUAGACGAUGGCAAAUUGAUUAAUAUUUCAAUACCAAUAAACAAGCGCGAUGUGGGGACGCAUAGAGUUAAUCGAGGUCACUGAUGGAAUAGUGGCUCGAAGGAUGUAGAACGUUACUUAGGCAAAUCCGGGUAACAUGAGUUCGAGAUCUUACAGGCUCCUGACACUCUUCGGAGGAGAAGGAGAAUCGAUGAUACUGUCGUGCCAAGAAAAGCCACUAAGUAUAUUGUUUAUUGCCCGUACCGUAAACCGACACAGGUGGGUGAGAUGAGUAUUCUAAGGCGCGUGGAAGAACCCUGGUUAAGGAACUCUGCAAACUAGCACCGUAUCUUCGGUAUAAGGUGUGCCUACUUUGGUAUAUGGGCUUGCCCCAAAAAGCUAGAGAGGUUGCAACAAAGAGUCCCUCCCGACUGUUUACCAAAAACACAGCACUUUGCUAACACGUAAGUGGAUGUAUAAGGUGUGACGCCUGCCCGGUGCUCGAAGGUUAACUGAUGAUGUCAGCACUUGUGCGAAGCAUUUGAUUGAAGCCCGAGUAAACGGCGGCCGUAACUAUAACGGUCCUAAGGUAGCGAAAUUCCUUGUCGGUUAAGUUCCGACCUGCACGAAUGGCAUAACAACAUCCGCACUGUCUCGACCAGGGACUCAGCGAAAUUGCAUUGGGGGUGAAGAUGCCCUCUACCCGCGGCAAGACGGAAGAUCGGAAGAGCGUCGUGUAGGGAAAGAGUGUAGAUCUCGGUGGUC